UCUAGCAUGUGAGAGGCGCUGUGCUGGAGAAAAGACAUGACUGGAGGGAGACAGAAUCCAUAUCCCGAUAGAGCUGCCGUCCUACAGUGGGAGGCCACGAUGGUCUCAGAAGAUAAGGAAGAGUCUCUCAGAGACUGAAGCUGAACUUUGACGGACUGGUUUGUAUCAAAGCAAGAAGACGACCUUGACUUGCGGCUUCAUGUAGUGGCGAGCGAUCUGCCCAGGAACCUGUCAGAAGAGGAAGAAACAAAAACCUGUGAGUCGAAGUAAGCCCUGAUAGGUACAGUCAGUCCCCGUCACAGACACACUGUCCUGGCCCGCAGUUCAGCAAGGUGACCAAGAUACUCACACAUAAACCAGGAACUCCGAUUCUUGUCUCAAGGAUCCAGACCGGCAGUUUCCAAGUCCGGAGGGCCUGAACGUGACCCAUCCCGGACCUACUCUGCCUUUUGAAUCAUCCUCCAAAGAGGAGGAUGAGUAAGGUGAUUGGAUCUGCCGCACACACAACUCUUUUUUAACCCAGAAGAACCAUUUUUGUGCACUUUGAUCAGGGGCAGCAGCUGGAACCCCGCACUCCCCCCACCCCGCAGUUCCCCCUGCCCUCUGCGCCCCCAGCCGCCCUGCCCUUACGGUGGCCCUGAGGUGUAAGGGGGCUGCAACACGUUGCCAAGGAGGGUGAGUAGCUGGUCCCCAGAUCCUGAAACUUGGAACAAGCCAAGUGGGCCCUAGAAAGGGGGUGUCCCAGGGUGGUAGGGGCCGGCUGUCAGCUGUGUUGGAAAUGGUGCUGACAGUGCCAAAGGCUCGCUUGGGUCACUGAGUCUCCAUGUCAGUGGGUGGUGGGUGGUGCCACUGAACCUCCCACCCUGUGCCCUGGUGGCAAAAGCGCUGACCUGUCGUGCCGCCAGGCCCCCUCUGGUGGCAUGCCUCCCCGUGAGAAGGUCACGCCCUCCCAGGUGGAAAUCCCCUGCCUUCCCCGCCAGCCCCCGUGCUCCCAGCACCCCCUCAGAGGCACAGCCUGCCUGCCGGGCGGUUUUAUCAGAUGCUGGGUGGUGCACAGUUGUUUCUGUAAUUCAAACAGUGUCAGCAUUGUUGGCUGUAUUUAAUGACAUGAGAGAUCAUGUUGGAGGUUUUUAAAUGAUUAAAUAUGCAGACUAUGCAAAUCAGAAAAACAAGCGUAUCAAGAGCAUCAGUGGCUGAUAAAGCAGUCCUGACCGGAGAAAAAAUCUUCCCAGUGUGGUACGGUGAGGUGUGCUAGCGUCUGUCUCCUUGUCACCGCCCUCCCCUUUUUGGAUCCACUUUUCUCUACUUAAGCCCUAAGAAAGGAGGGCGGUCAGUCCUUGGGGGGCGCAAGUCGUGGUCCGUGCUCCGCCGUGGGAAACGCGCGCGCUCGCUCGGUGCCGCCUCCCGAGCGCCCAAGCAGCCCCACCCCGUUCGCUUCCGUGCGGUUCCUUAGAAUGUCGGAAGUUCGUCCGGUGACAGGUGAGAAGCAAGGGACGCUAUCCUGUUCCUGUGUCCGUUUUAAACUAAAUCUUCACCCUUAUUUCUCCCUUUCAAAAUCUGAAGUUCGGCAACUGAAAAUUCCCAUUCAAAUAUAUUUGACGUUAAAUGUCUUACCUUUCAAUAAGGAUAUGCUUUAUAUUAGAUUUAUAAGCUCUCUCAAGACCAAACAAAUUAUAAAUAUCUCCAUAUGCACCACUUCAUUUACUUUAUGCUCUUAUUAAACUUGAAUGGGUUAUCUAAGAUAUUUUAAAAUGUUCAAUUGAACUCUUUAGGAGAAAUUAUUCAAUGUGAAAAUUAUUUUACAAAGUAUCUGUAACUUUCACCAUGCUCAUCAAAUGCUAAGGCCUCCCUGACAGGAGAUGACUCUUGACUAUAUUUAGAAACAAGACUAGUUCUCGGACGUCUGGUACAUACUUUACAGGGAGAGAGCCCGCCCUGCUCCGUAAACAUCCCACUGCUAGAGCAGAAAACAUUCCCGUUCGUAGGUAAAUGCAGUUUGGGAAGGGUAAACAGCACACCUAAACCGCCGUCUCCCCGCGGCACUUCAGGCCAGCCGCUGUGAGGUAAAUCCGACUCAUAUCUUUUUUUAUCAACAUAAAAAAAUAUGGCUUGUCAUCCGCUUGUUCUAUUCGGCCAUUUUCAGGAGCUCAGAGCACCUUGUAACAUGAGCUUUCACCUCCAAAAAGGAAAACAGCUUUUGAGAAUCUGAUUUAUUUUCAAAAUUGCCAUUUCUUAGUGAUCACUCCUCUUUGAGAAACUGCUGAUCCUAGGUUAUUUUUCUCCUUACAUUAUGUUCCCUGCCAUGAAAUAGAAGUAUGACAAUUAGAUUUCUGUGCCCAUGGCUUUGAGGGAACCCUUUUGUAUUUUCAGGAAGUCUGCUCCUUCAGCCCUGUGGCGGCAGUGGGGCGGUUCACUGGGGGGCGGACAGCGGGCUGCAGAUGGCUCCCCGGGGCCGGGUCCCCCCGCUUCUCCUCAGAGGCCGCAAACAGGAAAGGCAGGGCACCUAACCGAGGAACCGAAAGGAGAGCCGAGACACAAUGACACGUUCAUAGAUGAGAGUGCAAAACGCUAACGCAUUUCAUAGAGCCCCUAGCUGUACAAUAUUCAAUCAACAAUCUCCAUGACGGAGGUGUAUUUAACUACCAAGACAAAGAAACAGGUUCAGGUCCCGUGACUUGCAUGGACACUUUCUAAGACUGUAUGUAAUUUCAUGUUAUUUUUCUUCAAGAAGAUCCCAACAUGUGGAUCUUCCGACUUAACAGCUGGCCCAUCCCUAUUCACAAGUUUACAGACUUAAAAGUCUCCAGUGAUAUACUCCUCUGUAUUGUGUACUUUUCUGUUUUCAUAAACCCUUGGGGACGUGGUUGAUAAGGAGGGGGAGUACCUUGUCUCUCUCAAAGCUGGAGACUUUCUUUCUGAUUCUCACGCCGAGUUUCCUUGGAAUAAUGCUCGUCCAGAUCCGAAGCCGCCAGAGUUAGCCUUGGCUUGGGGCCGUCGGUAUGUACGUGCAGUUCACUCUGGGUUAUUUCUGGUUCAAGACCUAGGAACCCUCCAUUAUCGCCUAAAAAGAUAGUGUACGGGCCCAAACCAAAAAAAAGCCUCUCUCUAGACUCCCUCCUCAGUGAUCUCGACCAGUCCCAUCAAUAUCAGUAUUAUUCACAUGUCGAAAGCACAGGUCUUUCACCUCCUUGCUUAAAUUUAUUCCUAGGUGUUUUGUGCUUUUUGGUACAAUUGUAAAUGGGAUUGUUUUCUUAAUUUCUCUUUCUGCCAGCUCAUUUUUAGUGUGUAGAAAAGCAACAGAUUUCUGUGUAUUGAUGUUGUAUGCUGCACCUUUACUGAAGUCAUUCAUUAGCUGUAGCAGUUUCUUGGUGGAGUCUUAGGGUUUUCUGUAUAGUAUCACGUUACCUGCACACAGUGACCGUUUUGAUUCUUCUACAGUUUGGAUGUCAGGCUCAAAAACUCUGGUAGCUCUCUGCUGCCUGUAGUCUUGCAUUCUGUCCUGGAAUUAAGGAUUACCUGCCCUGUGGAUUCGAUCUUCUGUUUUAUUCCCCACUUGCCUUCACAAACCCCCUGCUUAAGCUCGGCUGACUGUUGGAUGUGUUCUCACACCACGUUCCUUUUGUUUUUCACAUCCUUUUCUCCUCCUCAGUUUUCUUCCUCAUGUUGCAGAGCAACUUGCUGAUACGUUGUGUUUUGGUUCUGGUUUGUCCUGCUUGGUUUACGGGGGCUUAUGAAGUCCAAGCAGCAGAAGUGGCUUGAAGAUAGCUUCUCCUAAGGGAAGGGUAGGUGCCCGCCAGGAGAGGGUACAUUGACUGGGUGAAGAGGGGAGAGCAGAAAGAACAAAGGCUGGAGGGGAGUGUGGGAGAGGGGCACCCAGGAGCGGAGGCAGAGGGCAGUUAUAAAAGUGGUUCAUUAAAUAGGACAAUAAGUAAAUUGUAAGACACACAAAAAAUCAUGGUGCUGUUUUCCAAAUAUAACCAUUACAUUUUGUAGGUAUAUGGUUCCCAACUUUUUUCUAAAUAUGUAUUUUUUAAUCACAAUGCAACCACACUAUUCAUAUUGCUUUAACCUUUUGCUUUCAUUUAUUGAUAUCAUAUGUCCCAGUAUAAUUCUACAGCAUGUUAAAUGACUAUAAUAUAUAUAUCAUUAUAUAGGUAUUAGUUAAUCUCCUGUUAAAUGAUGUUGAGAUGGCUUUUAGUUCUGGGGAAUCAAUCUUAUUUCUUAUCUUUGUGAACUUGUCUAUCUGCUUAGGGUAAGUUCUUAAAUUGUUGAUAAAUGUCAUCAAAUUACUUCCAGCAUGACUGGGCCUAUUUACAUUCUCAUUAACAAUGCUGGAAAAUACUGAAGCUAAAUUUAGUGAAAGUUCACUAAGACUUUAUUUGUGAGCUAUAUGUUGGGGUGGGGGUAAGAAUCAGGUUGCUUUUUCAAUCUUUUAAAGAAAUGAGAGUAUUUUAUCUUAUUUAAAAAUAUGUUAUUAGAAUUUAUAACAAUUUAGAAAUAAUAUUCUUCAGACUCCAACUCUUACAAAGUAAGAUGGGUUUGGGGGGGUUAGGAGGUCUUUUUAUCUCUGAAUCUAAAUUUCCAACAUUUAAGUCUCUCAUCAACUACAUUAAUGCUCUACUAAAAUUUACACUUAGAUUGUUCUCUUUGAAAAUGAUUUCCUUACAUAACUCCUCUUUGGAGCUUUGGAGAAUAAUCCUCUAUACCUUUCAUAUUUUUCUAUUAUUAUAAUUAAUAAUUUUGUAUCAGAACAUUUUAAGGAAGUUUUUCUGUUCAUUUUCUUGCCUAUAUCACACUCCUACUUUCUGUUCCAAUUUAAAUGAUUCAGAAUUUCCACAUCUAAUUGCUGUAAAGAGAGUUUUCCUGCUUAAUAGUAUCUUUCCUUGCUUGCAUACCAACUUAGAAGCCCCUGCUGAAAUGGAAAGGUGAACAACCACGAGACUAAGUUUACUGUUGUGUUUAAUAUAGUCAUAAAAAAGUCCACAGAUGCAUUUCUCCAUAGGCUAAAAAGUGAAAAUGCAGUGCAGAACUUUGCCACGCCAUAUAUUGACAUUUCAGAAUUUGCACUCGGGAAAGGACCCACAGUUCAAAGUUAGUAUUUGCAAAAACAGGUCAAGAUAGUUUAUUUCAGGACACCAACAGACUUGCAAUGCUAUACUAACCUUGACUGGUCAGAACACCCCAGCUAGCUUUUCGUUUAGAAGAACAUUCUCCUCUACUCGCUAGCCGCCGUUUCGUGAGGACCUGCUUAAUGCAGUUCCUUUCAAGCGCGCUACCUGCGGGCAUAACGUGGCUGGCGUUUCUGUCUGCGACACCAGGUGUCCUAAGCACAACUGCUCUAGCCGGAAGAAAGCAGGUACUCGUAAGGGGAGAGUGGCGGUCUACACAAGCCACACAAGAAAACACUGCUGAGAGAAGGCUGGAAAGAAUGAAUGAUUUGUUCUUUAUGCAGCUGGUAAAGAAGAAAUGACAGAAGUUCUCCACAGCCUGUAAGCAAACACUUUCUUUUUUAAAACUAUUUGAGGACAGUUUCAGAGGAAGAGACAUUUCAAAUACCCUGCCUGCUUUCAAUGACAUAGUUUGCUGGUCAUUGGGGGUAAAUUUUCCUCUUUCCUCCCCAGGUUAGAAAAUGAGCUUAAUAUACUAUAAUUGUUGCAGGAAUCCAUGGGGCUGCCAUGGAGCCAUUCUGAGGAUGUGCACUGCUAAUUCAGUCCUGAGGAGGUAUUCUGUCUUCUCUUAGAUGGAGUUCAUAAAAUACACAUAAUGACAUAUCGACUCAUUACACCAAGGAGUUUAUAAAAUAUUAUGGUGGUAAUUAUUUCCAUCAUUAGUUAAUGACUCUUUUUCAUAGGCUAAAUUCAGUAAAGGCAUUAGAAAGCUCUUCAUAGAACUAGACUUGGACGCAUGAUUUGAGAAGAUGUGUAUUUAUUUGCUGCACUGGCACCAGCCACCCGACUACGUAGCUUUAGCUAAUAUUGAUACAUAACCCUUUGCCCCAGAUGAACCAGGCUUGUCUGAUUUCAAAUCCCAACUUUCUCUUCUUUAUAUUCAGCUUGGUUUCAUCUCCACUUGGAUGCAGCCAGGUAUGUUCUGCCUUUGAAAUUUUACCUUAAGUUCCACCUUCUCUAUGAAGUGCCUGAUGCUCUCUAUGUGCUUUGUUAGAGAACAUUCAUUGCAGAACCUGUUUUCAAUUUAGCACCUCAUGAAUUCCUGCUUGCUUCCUGUUUGGUUGUUUUACAUGUGCAAGGUGUGGCUCCACUCACCCAAGUUUUUGCUCAAAUAGCAAGUCAUAUACUAUAUGUGAUAAAUAUAUAAAUAUGUGUGUGUGUAUAUAUAUAUAUAUAUAUGUAUUCCCACAUGUGUGUAUAUAUAUUUAUCCAUCUACAUACAUGUAGCACAUAAUAUUGUGUGAGGAAUAGAGUAGGUAUCCAAAUAUUAUUGAACUGAAUUAAAUUCAAAAUGUCUUAAAUUGUCAGUUAAUAAGAAAAAAUAGCUUAUUUUAAUCAUGUACCAUCUUCUAAAAGACAUGGUAAACUGGAAAGCAGAAAGUUGACACCAAGUUUUCCUUCUUUAACUGUCCUUAUGAUAUUGAAAUUUGAGAGUUGUCUGUAACAAUGUCACCUAUCAUUGUCAUUUUUCAAAAAGUUUGGUGGAUAAGCAAUGUUCUUUCCUAAAAGUAAGUCAUUUGAACAGUGAAGCGCUGAGCCUUUAGGUAAACAUUUAGGCAGGAGAUAAAGGAGUUAGAAAUAAUAAUAACAGGUUGCAAGGCGAGAAAGUGAAGCGAGAGUGACGCUGGGGCUGGGGGGCUUGUGAGCACUGUGAGCAGGGACACCCUCGUGCUUAUGGGAGCUGGCAUGCAGCUGUUAGCACAGCUUUUACUUGACUGCACAUCCCAGCACAGCUCUUCUUAUCCUACCCUGUCUCUGGGCCCCCACAGUACCCUCUUUAACCUUGUAAGAUAGCAUUUACCACGCUUUUAAAUUAGUUCACUGGCUGGCUGUCUCUGCCACUAGACUAUACACACCUUCGAGAAAGGGUCUUGGUCUGUUUGUAUAUUUUAUCCUUAAUGCCUAGCACAGUGCCUCUGACAUAGAAGAUACACUAGUAAGCCUUGUAAAUAAUAAAUGAGCAAAUAGUUGAUUGCCUAAACAAAGGAGGAGAAGAACAAAAUGUAUGAGGAUAUUCCUGGAAAAACUGAUCCCUCCUAAGUUAACAUCAGUGAUGCCAAGUUCUCUGAUCCCAAAAAUGCAUGCAGUUCUCCAAAUACAGAGGAAGGGGAAAGACAGUAACACAUUAAAAAUAUGGCAGUAUUUUAUAACCUUGGAAUUAAUUCACAAUGCUAUAAUGGUCUCUUCCCAAAAAGUGCUCUGGCAUUUCUAAAAAAUAGGACAGCUUGGGCAAAAUUUAAAUCUCUUUUGAAAAUUUUUCUAUAGCACUUUUGAUUAUAAUGUCAUGUUUUUGAUAGAACAGUUCUAUUGAUUCAGGUUAUUCCUCUGCAGAGUUCCACCUAAGUAUAGAAAAUGUGCUCCCAAACCCUCACAUCUUCAAGGUUUUAGAAAGGUAUACCUUUUUCCUUUAUAUAAUGAACAUACAAUUUCAUGAAAGAAGUCAUCCUACCGAUGUGCCUCUUGAAAGUUUUCACUGCUGAGAUUCUGAGAAACGUUCCUAACGUAACUGACCUCAUACCCAGUUAACAUGGCAGCCCCCAAAUCCCAUGAAACAAGGUACUCCUCAGAAGCUAUAGUGAAGCUUCCAUUGCUGGCUAUAAAGUUAAAUUCCUAAAGAUGUUUUUAAACCUCGGAUAGACUUUCCUUACUGAUGGA